rnacentral:rRNA from 1 species
CCUACGGGAGGCUGCAGUGGGGAAUAUUGGACAAUGGGCGAAAGCCUGAUCCAGCCAUGCCGCGUGUGUGAAGAAGGCCUUCGGGUUGUAAAGCACUUUCAGUGGGGAAGAAAGCCUUGGGGCUAAUACCCUCGAGGAAGGACAUCACCCACAGAAGAAGCACCGGCUAACUCCGUGCCAGCAGCCGCGGUAAUACGGAGGGUGCGAGCGUUAAUCGGAAUUACUGGGCGUAAAGCGCGCGUAGGCGGUCUGAUAAGCCGGUUGUGAAAGCCCCGGGCUCAACCUGGGAACGGCAUCCGGAACUGUCAGGCUAGAGUGCAGGAGAGGAAGGUAGAAUUCCCGGUGGAGCGGUGAAAUGCGUAGAGAUCGGGAGGAAUACCAGUGGCGAAGGCGGCCUUCUGGACUGACACUGACGCUGAGGUGCGAAAGCGUGGGUAGCAAACAGGAUUAGAUACCCCGGUAGUC